rnacentral:lncRNA from 1 species
AAACUUUAGUAAAAUUUUCCUCCUGAACUCUAGUUUCCAACAAACAUCCAAACGACAGCUUCGCAGCGGUAACCCAAUGUCUAACUGCCUUUUGUUUACGUGGCAUGUUGAACCCACGCAUGUUCCAAGCGAAGAUCGACGACAUCAGUGCCUCCUAAAGGAAGCUUUCUAUUGAUGUUGCACCUUCUGUUGCUGAGCCACUGCCUGGACAAGGUCUCUGGAGUUCACUAUAACUCGUUUCGACCCCUUGCCUUUACCACGCUGAAUAGGGCCCUGCUUGAGAGUG